UACGGAGGGGACUAGCGUUGUUCGGAAUUACUGGGCGUAAAGCGCACGUAGGCGGAUUUGUAAGUCAGGGGUGAAAUCCCACAGCUCAACUGUGGAACUGCCUUUGAUACUGGCAAGCUAGAGUCCGGAAGAGGUAAGUGGAACUCCUAGUGUAGAGGUGGAAUUCGUAGAUAUUAGGGAAGAAACACCAGUGGCGAAGGCGGCUUACUGGUCCGGAACUGACGCUGAGGUGCGAAAGCGUGGGGAGCAAACAGG
rnacentral:rRNA from 1 species